rnacentral:rRNA from 1 species
UACGUAGGGCGCAAGCGUUGUCCGGAAUUAUUGGGCGUAAAGAGCUCGUAGGCGGCUAGUCACGUCGGAUGUGAAAGCCCGAGGCUUAACCUCGGGUCUGCAUUCGAUACGGGCUGGCUAGAGUGUGGUAGGGGAGAUCGGAAUUCCUGGUGUAGCGGUGAAAUGCGCAGAUAUCAGGAGGAACACCGGUGGCGAAGGCGGAUCUCUGGGCCAUUACUGACGCUGAGGAGCGAAAGCGUGGGGAGCGAACAGG